rnacentral:lncRNA from 1 species
UAAAAAGAAUCGUAUUUAUUUCUUUUCAUUUAUGGAUACACUCGAACGAGUCGUGCUCUUUCAUUCGAGAGCGGCUCGAGGUGAAGUAGUCGAAAAGCCGCUUUCAUUGUCCUCGUUUCUAAUUUCAGAGAGAACUAUUUGCGGGACAAUACACUCUGAAGAAGCGUGUUGCGUAAUUUUAAUUGAUAAGUCUUUCUUUGCUAUGCCCUUGCCAUAGUUCUCUCUUUUCCUCUCUGACAUACCGAGCGAGUUCUCUUUCGUCUCGUGACCCUCUAACCUCUUCCGCUGUUGAAUAAUGAACCUUCGAGUCGUGCUCGGGAGCAGCGUCUGGGGACUUUUCGGAGCGCGUGGCCGCCCUUUUACACUCCUCCUCCACCCAGGACGACUGCUAGUCUUCGUCGAGGUUCCUCCAACUUGUUCCACCUUCCUCCAACGAGCGAACAGACCGAAAAUGGGAAUGCCAAACAGAGGAUAUCGAUCCUGUGAUCCACGCUCGUUCCCCAAAGCCUUAUACUUUGGCUUCGAAAUUAAGCGUUAAUUGUGUUAAUCGCUUGGAAACGAUUUUCGUCGAUCUGAGAAAGAAUUGUAUAAUAUAAUCGAGUGGGUGCAAUCGUGUUUUCCUUUUCUUUCUUUGAUUAUUCUUUCCUUGUUCGUCGCGGAAAAUGGAUGCUGUGAGCGAGGCAAAGGUGUUUGGACCUCGUCGAGGUUAAUAUUAUUUCAUAUUUGUUGUGUGUGGAAGAUCGAAAAUAAGAUUGUAUAUGAAAAUAUUAUUUAUAUUCUUUCGAAUAUAAUUAAUUCGUGUUUCCAGAUGUUAAUCUCGAUGAUUUGCGAUUAAAAUUUGUUUUCUUUAUUUUUCUUUAAUUAAACACGAAGGGUACGAGCUGCGUGACACGGAUGAUCGGAUCAAAGGUGAUCAUGAGGAUAGAAAUUAUUCAAUCUUUUACAGUAGCAUUGAGUUAUCGCAUACGAUUGGCAAGUAAAUCGGGUUGAAAAUGAUCCAAACAUCGGACUGAGAGAGGAAGUAUGUAAAUAUGUUUACAUUUUCUGUGCCAAAGGAGUUCGAAUCGAAGCCCCCAAUGACGAGGGAAAUUCCUUUGGUUGAUUGAGCGAGGAAAACAUGUUUUCUUUGAAAUUUCUUUGACAUUACGGAAUUUCCAUCAAAUAUUUUGCCAUUUUAUACCCUUUAGAAAUAAUAAUAAUAAUAAUCCUCGACGAAUCAAAGAUGGAUUCACAAACGCAUUCCUCUAUUAUUGCUAUUAUUUUAUAGCUUUCAAAAAAUGAUAAUGAAAUACUUAAAAGAAAGAAUUCACCGGUCAGAGAAAAUAAAUUUUCCUCUCGUUGUACGAAAGAUUGGAUAAAAAAUUGGAUAGAAAAUAUUCGCGCACUUUUGCUUCUUCUUCUUCUUCUUCCUCUUCUUUUUUUCAUUCCAUCCUAGUGAUCCAAUAGAAAAAAGGAUAAAAAGAGCACGUGGUGGUUGCAGCAAAGCGACCAGUAGGAUCACUAGACGUGCAUGGAAAAGGGGAAGUGGAAAUUUUCUUUUUUUUUUUCUUUUUUUUUUUUAGAGAGAACGACGGAUAAAACAGUAACGAUCUUGGCAACCUGGAGGUACCUGUGAAGUUUCCAGAGAGAAACUCGAGCAAAUGAGUGGCACGUAGAUAAGCUCGAAAAGCUGUCGCACUCGAGGGCGAAAGAAAGCAACGGGAAUAAAACUGGGAGAGGAGGGGAAAAAAAGUUGGUGGGGAAAAAUGAGAAAAAUAACUGGUACAGCUUAUAACCCUUGGCAAAAAGUAUUCGUAUUCUUUAAAAUCUAUAUUUAUAUAUAUCUUUCCAUUCAUUUCGAUGAAAUAUAGGAGAUAUUUGAAUAUUUUUGGCGAUAAUAAUUCUUUUCUUUUGCAGAAAAUUUUAAAGUUUUCUCCACUUCUUUAAACGCAACCAUUUAUUUCUUUAUUCAUCAACUCUAUGUAUUAUACUUGUACAUAAAAUUAUUAGUUUAGAAAUACUUUAACUUCAAAUUAAUAAAGCUUGUAAAGUGAUAUAUUAAUUAUUCAAGCUCUCCUUGAACGGAAGAAACGUCAUAUUACACUAAAAAAUAAUCAAGAUAUUUAUAAUCCAUUAAUUUUCCAUCUCAUCUUUGUUGUUUUCUUCGUAUUUCGAAAAAAAAAAUUGUCAAAGUCAUUUGACUCAAUUUUAAAAAAAAUGUAUUCCACCUCUGCAAAAACUGUAAUGCAAUACUUUUUGCCAGGAAUUCGUAGAGAACUCGACACCGUUAUGAAAGGUUUUCGAAAUUCGAAUGGGGGAUGGAACCGUUUUACGAUUGAUUCGAAUUGGACGCGGCUGAAUCAAGUAAACUUCGAACUUCAAUUGGCAUUGCAUGAAAAAUUGAUUGGAAAGCUAUUAUCAGUUUUAUGAAGUUUCGUCUGAAUGGUUUCACGAAGCGAGAAUAUAUAUGUAUAUAUGUAUAUACAUAUGUAUAGGAGAGCAACGCUCAUAGAGGUUUAUGAAAACCGCCGGCAGCCACGGUGAUUCGUCAUAAUUAAUCAUAUUCCAGUCAAGCCGUGUCGUUUUAUUGCUCGUAUUUAUCGCGCGACAUCUGCCCUUUAACAGGUUUCGAAUUUCCAUUCGAAAAUGGGGAGUGAGAGGGGAAAAAAGGGGUUGCAAAAAUCAACAGGCGUGGCGCAUUUAAUUGUGCGAAUUAAUCUUUACGUUUCACCGAGCCAUUCCAUUCUUCUCAUUUCCAGUUCAUUUCACUACCCAACUUUCCAUUCAAACUUUACAAUACUUCAUCCUCCCCCCCGCUCCUGCUCGAUGACUUUUAUAAAGUCCAUUUGUUUAUUCCCAUCGGUGAAUGUAUUCGAAACACAGUAUGGAGAUAAUCGAAAACGAUUAUAAAUUUGUUAACAUUUUUUAACACUCGUAAAUAUAAAAUAUCUCGAAGAUUUGUUUUUCAAUCAGGAUAAUAAAAUUCGAGUUUUUGAUUUCUUUUAAGAAAAAUCAUUUUAAAAAAAAAAUGUAUCUUACUUCUUCUUCCUUGAUCUAAAAGAAGAGUGCUAUUCGUCAAUCGAGAGAGGAGAAAUCGUCGUAAGACUUUUGUCUUUUGUCUUCAGCCUUUCAAUGUUUCACGAAGAACAGGAAAACAAAGCGGUUUUCAUUAUUGUGCCCACUUCUUGUGUCUUGUAUUAUUCAAGUUGCAUCAACGUAUAAAUUAUUCCCUUCUUUAUCCCUGUCCCGAUACUGGUAAAUAUCGUAACCUUUCGAUGCCUCUUUCGAAUUUUUAACCCUCUUCUUACUUUUUCCAUCCACGAAACGAAUAAAAUUCAUUGUUUUUAAAAGAUACUUCUUUGCGAUAUCGUUUCUUAUUUAUAUUCGAUUUUAUUUUUCGUUAGUUGGACGUAUAAUUUUAUUCAAAUUUCCAUAUUUUUCUACCCUGUUCACAAAUGAGUGAUACAAAGUGAUUAUAUGAUCAAGCUUGAAUUUUUCGAGUGAAAUUUCAUUUCAUUGUUGUGAAUAAUCACAUAUUUCAAAUAUUAUUAUUAUUAUUUAAAUUUAAUUAAAAUCAUGAUUAUUUUUUUUAAGUUUAAACUUCCAUCCAAUUUUUACAAGUCGUAAUUGUUUUAUUUAAUUGUCAACAAAGAACAACGAAGAAAACUUUUCUCUUUAAUUUAAGAGAAAAGUAGUUUAUUUUGGAGGGCGGUUAUUAUUACGCUUUCCAAGUAUUUUCGAAAGUAUUGUUCCACGAUGGAAAAGAGCCAGGGCCUGUUAUCUUGAAUCAAGACGAAACAUGGAGUACAUUUCGCGAAAGACAAAUGAACCUUCUUCCCCGACGGCCAUGGGCCAAACGCCAAACUGGGGGUCCAACUCUCGCGUCCUUGAUUCCCUUUCUUUUCUUUAAUUCUACCACCCUGUUUUUCUUCCUCAAAACCUUUCCUCCCCUCCCGUCUUAUCUCCGCCGUAUUUCUUUUCAUCUUUGCCUUUAGCCGCUUUUCCCCUUUAUUUUCGACCCAGUUAUCCCCGUUCUAACGACCGCGUAUCUUUAAUUUGUCGUCCUAAAUAUCUCCAUUUUUCUCCCAGUUUUUAACGUUAAUUUCGCGCAAUAUAAUAAAAAUGUAUCCCAUAGCAUGAGAAAUCUGUCCACUCUCUCUCUCUCUCUGUUUCUCGCUUCCUCUGGGAAAAUAAAUCUACAGUCGGAUGGUAAAUCCUGUAAAAUUGUAGAUGGUAAUCCCAUAUGUCAGGAUUACGAAUAUCCAUGAAAUUGAGAAAUGAGUUGACCGAACAUCACUUCGCAAAUAUUCUUAACAGUGAAACGAUUUGUAACUGUAAUACGAUUUAUUUAAAAAAAGAAAAAGCUUCGCGAAUUUUUUAAAAAAGUAAAUCUAUCAAAAUCUAUCGUGGGUUAAUUUUUAAAUUAAAAUUAUUCGAGUUAUUAUUCGAUAUUCGAAUCAAUAUCUGAAUCUUUCCCUCCUUUUCUUUUUAAAAAUCGCGCGCUACUUGGCUGCCAUUUUGUUUUCCGAUCGUUCUCGCGUGCAAUUCAAUCAAAAUCUAUCGUGGGUUAAUUUUUAAAUUAAAAUUAUUCGAGUUAUUCGAUAUUCGAAUCAAUAUCUGAAUCUUUCCCUCCUUUUCUUUUUAAAAAUCGCGCGCUACUUGGCUGCCAUUUUGUUUUCCGAUCGUUCUCGCGUGCAAUUCAAUCAAAAUCUAUCGUGGGUUAAUUUUUAAAUUAAAAUUAUUCGAGUUAUUCGAUAUUCGAAUCAAUAUCUGAAUCUUUCCCUUCUUUUCUUUUUAAAAAUCGCGCGCUACUUGGCUGCCAUUUUGUUUUACGAUCGUUCUCGCGUGCAAUUCAAUUGAAUCGCGUACAACAAAAGAUCCUGUUUUUCUUUUCUUCCCUUUCAUUGAUCAGUUUCUUUUUAUAUACCUUUUCUCCACUCAUUACACAAUAAUUUUUCUUUUAUCUCAUAUACGAUCGUGCAAUAUACAAUCUAUAAAAUAAAACGCAAAAGUUAGGUUAAGGUUAGAUUCUAUCUAUCCUUCUUUCGCAAUGGAAAGAUAAAACGGCGAAACGAAGAAUAAUGCGCUGGCGAAUAAACUUGAAAUUGUAUUCAAUUCUCGUUCCAUUUCGAUCAUUCAUCACCCAGCAACCAACUCUUGACAAAUAACUCUGAACAAUACGAAAUUGUCACUUAAUUAAUUUUUCUCCGCGAUAAAAAAUAAUUAUCCUGUAUUUCUCAUUUUUUCGACACAAGAGAGAAAAAAAAAUCGUUAUUUCAACAUCGAUAAACACGAACUUGGCUUCUGAGAAUGGAAUAAAAAUUAUCGAAGCGUAUUUUUCGAAAAGACUUUCGAAAGAUUUACGCGAGGAAUAUUUAUUACAAUGGGACCGAGAUUGCUUUAUCCCAGCAGAUGGCGCGCAAGUGCAUCAUACGAGCAGACACACCGAGGUCACGUCGCAACCCAUGCACUUAAUCGUACGCAAAUACACGCAUCACGUUGAUACGACCGCGAGAUUGCAUCGAUUAACACGCCUUCGACGAAUCUUUCGAGAUAAAGUUUCAACGAAUUCGCAUUUCCCUCGCAACGAAUAUAAGUUUCGUGCGUUAUCGGUCGACAUUCGAAACGCGAUCCCUGGUCGAGUCAAGUGAUUUUCGAUGUUAAUUGGAGGAGACAUUAUAUACAGGGUGUCUUAUUAUUAAUCUAUCAAAAAAAAAAUGUUCUACACGAAAGAUUUGUAGUGUAAUAAUAAUCGUUGAAAGUAUAUCUUUUAAUUAUUUUCAACGCUAUUGAAAAUGGAAUUUUUUAAUAAAGCCAAUCGUGUGAUACUAAGAAAGUUUGAAAUAGUUAUGUGAAUAAUAACGUACACUGAUUGUCAACAGUUGUAGAUAAAAAAUUCUACAUCAGUUUUAAAUAAAAUUGUUGUUAAAUCUUUUCAAAUAUAUCCAUUGUAUAGAAUAUUUUUCAUUGGCUGCAGCACUUGCUUAUUAGAUAAAUUUUAUUAUCGGUUAACAAUUCACAAUUUUCUUAUUCAAACGAGAAUAAAAUAAACUUCGAACGUAUACUUGUGACGUAUAAUUGAUCUCGAAAAAUCACUUUUCUUUCGUUUUCAUAACAAAAGAGAAAAAGAAUAAACUGACUUAACAACGAUUCUUUAGAAAUCGAUAUAGAAAUCUCUUUAAUCCAACUGUUACAAGAUCACAAUUCGAAAGAAUCUCUCCUCCACCUUUCACGAUUAUUCUCGAGAUCAAGAACGAUUAACCAUUGCAAAAAAACAAUUUCGAAACAAUUAUUCUCGCUUAGGGGAGGUUUCGCGUUAUAAGAAAAAUUUCCAACGACAGAGUCGCUCAGUUCUCGAGGAGGAACAAGUUUCCCUCGUGGAGAGACCAGCUGUUGUGCUUUCUUAUACACACACACACACACCAAACCCUACUUCCAAAUACCAUCCAAUAGCUCGUACUUUCUUCCUCGAAUUGGCAAGCCAGCCGAGCGCAGCUGGGUUAAGGAUCAGAAGGAUCUGAUUAAAUUGCUCCUAUAAGAUGCAUCCGCAGGUGCGACGCCCGGGGUUGGAUGCUUCACCAGGGAAAUGCAUAUUCUGAAAUGGACGAUUUUUUACGGCAGCUUAGCCUCCCCCCUCCCUUAAACGAGAAAUUGCAUUUUUCAAAUUCUCCUCCAACGAGAGAGAGAAAGAGAGAGGGAGGGCUCGAAAAUUAAUUGGCCAACUCGUGCGGAACCAUUUGCUCGUUAAAUAAUGCGCCUCUUUGCCCGGUCGCGCGGAUAACUCGUGUCGCAAUUGCGCACGAAGGGAGGGCAUGUAAUUAUUUACCGGCCAACGAAUCAAUAUUUGCAAAUUGUGCGUCUUUCGAAUGAAUUCUUAUUCUAAUUCUGAUGAUCUUUGUAUUGAAUUUUGUUCCUUGUUUUUUCGUGCAUUUAUCAAUGACUUUCGACAAUUCUUUAUUUAAAGUUUGUAUUCUGAUUUUUACGUGGAAUAUAUGUGUUUGAUUUCUUCAGGCGUUGAAAUAUAAAAAUGUCAGGGGUUUAUUUAUCAAGUUGUAAAUAAUUGAAGUUUGCGGAAGAUGGAGAGAGAAGACUCUGCUUCGUCUUCGUUACGCUGCCGUCACAUUCUAUUCUCGUGGCGGUUUAUCCGAUGCAAGCUUAAACUGUUUAUAACUUAAUAAAUCAGCCACUUUUGUACGCCAAGUUUUAUGGAAUCGAUUCUUCGAAGUAUAUAUAUUCCAGGAAUAUAUUAACACUAAUGUAAUUGUUGUUGUUUUCAAUCUCUUUGGCCGAUUUUGUCUUUCGAAUUUUUUAAAUUUAUCGAUAAUUAGACAAGUUAUCCUUUUUUUAAAUUUUUUCUCGCGGAUUUUUUUAUCGGAGAUUGUCGAAAUAAGGAAAAUUCGAUCGAAGAAAUUUUCUUUUCGACGAGAAUAUAAUAUAAUAUCGCACGAAUCGAAUCGUAUAUUUAUUAUAAAAAUUUAUUAUAAUACAAAUUAUUGAAUAAAUGCAUGGAAUCAUUCACAUUAACGCGAGAGGAAAGAAAAAUUUUAUCAUUAUCGAACGACUAUUCGCAUUCAAAAUUAGACCAACAAUGAAUUCUAUGUUUUUCUAACGAAAAAACGCGCAGUUCCUAUGUAAAAUCCAAGCUAAUCUUAGAAAUUCAGAUCAUUCAAAAAUAACGUUCGCUCGAUCUAUAUUUAAAUGCAUAAUUUCCAAAAUCAAUUUAUAUUUCCAAAACGAAAUAUCACGAGAGCUCGUGCCCGAUCUAAAAAGAAUAGUAUUUUGUUAACACGUCUAUCGAAAAGUAUCCUCGAAAAGUAUACUGUGAAAGUGCAUAACGAGAGAGGGAGAGCCGACCGAAUCGAGGGUGUAGAAUAUUUAAAAGAAACCGAUUGAUAUUUGACACGGUGGAUAAUCGAAUUAAUUCGGUCGGCGUUUUCGUCUCUCAGAUUCAUCUAAUUAAUUAUAUUCGAUAAAUUUAUAUAGAAACGCGGAAAAUAU